rnacentral:rRNA from 1 species
CGGGUGAGUAACACGUAGGUAACCUGCCCUCAAGACGAGGAUAACCGUUGGAAACGAUGGCUAAGACUGGAUAGGAACCGAGGAGGCAUCUCUUUGGUUUUAAAGGACCUGGCAACAGGUACGCUUGAGGAGGGGCCUGCGGCGCAUUAGUUAGUUGGCGGGGUGAAGGCCCACCAAGACGAUGAUGCGUAGCCGGACUGAGAGGUUGAACGGCCACAUUGGGACUGAGAGACGGCCCAAACUCCUACGGGAGGCAGCAGUAGGGAAUUUUCGGCAAUGGGGGCAACCCUGACCGAGCAACGCCGCGUGAACGACGAAGUACUUCGGUAUGUAAAGUUCUUUUAUCAGGGAAGAAUGGCUUACGGAAAAGUGAGCGUGACGGUACCUGAUGAAUAAGCCCCGGCUAACUAUGUGCCAGCAGCCGCGGUAAUACAUAGGGGGCAAGCGUUAUCCGGAAUUAUUGGGCGUAAAGGGUGCGUAGGUGGCCGUUUAAGUCUUUGGUGUAAGUGCAAGGCUCAACCUUGUGAUGCUAAAGAAACUGGAUGGCUUGAGUGUGGUAGAGGCAAGUGGAAUUCCAUGUGUAGCGGUAAAAUGCGUAAAUAUAUGGAGGAACACCGGUGGCGAAGGCGGCUUGCUGGGCCACAGCUGACACUGAGGCACGAAAGCGUGGGGAGCAAACAGGAUUAGAUACCCUGGUAGUCCACGCCGUAAACGAUGAGUACUAAGUGUAGGG